UGGGGAAUUUUGGACAAUGGGCGAAAGCCUGAUCCAGCAAUGCCGCGUGUGUGAAGAAGGCCUUCGGGUUGUAAAGCACUUUUGUCCGGAAAGAAAUCCUUGGCUCUAAUACAGUCGGGGGAUGACGGUACCGGAAGAAUAAGCACCGGCUAACUACGUGCCAGCAGCCGCGGUAAUACGUAGGGUGCAAGCGUUAAUCGGAAUUACUGGGCGUAAAGCGUGCGCAGGCGGUUUGCUAAGACCGAUGUGAAAUCCCCGGGCUCAACCUGGGAACUGCAUUGGUGACUGGCAGGCUAGAGUAUGGCAGAGGGGGGUAGAAUUCCACGUGUAGCAGUGAAAUGCGUAGAGAUGUGGAGGAAUACCGAUGGCGAAGGCAGCCCCCUGGGCCAAUACUGACGCUCAUGCACGAAAGCGUGGGGAGCAAACAGGAUUAGAUACCCUGGUAGUCCACGCCCUAAACGAUGUCAACUAGUUGUUGGGGAUUCAUUUCCUUAGUAACGUAGCUAACGCGUGAAGUUGACCGCCUGGGGGAGUACGGUCGCAAGAUUAAAACUCAAAUGAAUUGAC
rnacentral:rRNA from 1 species